GACAGAGGUGGCAAGCGUUGUUCGGAAUUACUGGGCUUAAAGGGCGAGUAGGCGGUGAGACAAGUCCGAGGUGGAAUCCUUUGGCUUAACCAGAGAACUGCCUUAGAUACUGUUUCACUUGAGUCAGUGAGGGGAGGGCGGAAUUCCCGGUGUAGCGGUGAAAUGCGUAGAUAUCGGGAGGAAGGCCGGUGGCGAAGGCGGCCCUCUGGUGCUGAACUGACGCUGAGGCGCGAAAGCGUGGGUAGCAAACAGG
rnacentral:rRNA from 1 species